CCUUCGUUACUUUUUUCUUCAAUUUCUUCCCGUAUUCCACCUCUUCUUCUACCUUCUCCCAUAGAGAUUUAAGCUCAUCCUUCUAGCUCGAAUUGUUCUUGGUUGACAUUUUCACUGAAGUUUUCUUGCGUUGCUUCCAUGGUCUCAAGUUUCUGCCUGAUGAUGACAACGUCAGGCAAAUAAUCAUCUGCCGGUUGGAAUGAGUUUGGCUUCUCGAGGUUUCACCUAGUAGGAAAUGAGAUUUUAUAUGAGAACCAUGAAACCUUAACCAGACUAGGAAUGCUGAAGCUUAUAGUCAAAACACUGGUUGUUUGUUUACGGAGGAUCUGAAGGCUUCUUUCUCAUCAGAGUCAUUCGUGUAAACAACCUGCACACCGAGAAUCUUGC
rnacentral:lncRNA from 1 species